GGCCAACUGGAAAGAAAAUUUUGUAAACUGCCACAAAAUCGACAUGGAGCCCAUAGCUUUUGAAAACGAACAGAGGCAAACGUGCUUCCGGCAAAUAGUAGCAAGUUGGAAAUACGGGUCAAACUACUGGACUUCCGGUUUGCGGUUGGGAGCAAGCGUAUAUUCAUGGUGCAAGAAAAACGGGACCAUUCCCUUGGUGAACGCAAAUAUUUCGUGGAUCGAGACAAAACUCUUGGACGUUGAUGAACAAAAUUGUCUUCUUCUGAGCGUGGACAAGCAAAAUGCCUCUUACCAGCUUUCAGAAAAAAUGUGCAAUGAUUCCGAUGUCUUCUUCGCGUGCCAAGGAAAACCUACACCACCACCUCCCUGCUCCAGUCCCGUUUGUCCAAAUUUUACUUGCGCGAAAAACCAAUCAUACUUCAUAGACGCUAAAAUGGCUCAGCUCACAAGUACUGAAGCUCACGGAAAAUGGUUCACUUUAACAGGCCGCAUCUUUCUCUUCAGCUCAUCAAACGAAACAGUAACUGAUU